rnacentral:sRNA from 12 species
AGCCUAAACCAGUGAUUGCUGGCAUGGUGAAAAGAGCCCCGCAAAGACAUAAAAAACCCAUCAUAUAGGGUCGUCUUUGCGGGCCAUAUCAGGAAACUGGUAUGAGAGACUUCGGUCUCU